rnacentral:tRNA from 3 species
UCUAAUAUGGCAGAUUAGUGGCAUUGGAA